rnacentral:rRNA from 1 species
AUUGAACGCUGGCGGCAGGCCUAACACAUGCAAGUCGAGCGAGCGGCGGACGGGUGAGUAAUGUAUGGGGACUGCCCGAUAGAGGGGGAUAACUACUGGAAACGGUGGCUAAUACCGCAUACUAUCGGAUAACCCAUAUGGGAUUAGCUAGUAGGUGGGGUAAAGGCUCACCUAGGCGACGAUCGCUAGCUGGUCUGAGAGGAUGAUCAGCCACACGGGGACGGAGAAAAGGCCCAGACUCCUACGGAGGCAGCAGUGGGGAAUAUUGCAAAAUGGGCGAAAGCCUGAUGCAGCCAUGCCGCGGGUAGGAAGAAGGCCUUAGGGUUGUAAAGUACUUUCAGCGGGGAGGCGUUACCCGCAGAAGAAGCACAGGCUAACGCCGUGCCAGCAGCCGCGGUAAUUC